rnacentral:rRNA from 1 species
GACGUAGGAGGCAAGCGUUGUUCGGAAUUACUGGGCGUAAAGCGUCCGUAGGCGGAUCUGUAAGUGGUUAGUUAAAUCCCGGGGCUCAACCCCGUGGGUGCUACCCAGACUGCAGGUCUGGAGGUCGGCAGAGGGUGAUGGAAUUCCCGGUGUAGCGGUGAAAUGCGUAGAUAUCUGGAGGAACACCGGUGGCGAAGGCGGCAUCCUGGACCAACACUGACGCUGAGGGAGCGAAAGCCAGGGGAGCAAACGGG